UGUAGUUGUCCCAACUCUCUGUAGUUGCUUUCUGUAGUUGUUUCUGAAGGUGUAGUUGUUGUUCCCGUAGUCGUUACUGACGGUACUUCAGUGGUUGUGGUACCAACAGAAGGUGUUGAUGUUACAACUGUUGUUUCAGGGCUUGUUGUUGUGACACCUGGCACUGAGGUUGUAGUUUCAACUAUAGAUGUUGUAGAAGUUGUCACAGGGCCAGUGGUGACUUUUGGUGAUGUAGUUGUCACAGGGCUUGUUGUUGUGACCCCUUGCACUGAGGUUGUAGUUUCAACUAUAGAUGUUGUAGAAGUUGUCACAGGGCCAGUGGUGACUUUUGGUGAUGUAGUUGUCCCAACACUCACUGUAGUUGGCUUUUCUGUAGUUGUUUCUGAAGGUGAAGUUGUUGUUCCCGUAGUCGUUACUGACGGUACUUCAGUGGUUGUGGUACCAACAGAAGGUGUUGAUGUUACAACUGUUGUUUCAGGGCUUGUUGUUGUGACACCUGGCACUGAGGUUGUAGUUUCAACUAUAGAUGUUGUAGAAGUUGUCACAGGGCCAGUGGUGACUUUUGGUGAUGUAGUUGUCCCAACACUCACUGUAGUUUGCUCUUCUGUAGUUGUUUCUGAAGGUGUAGUUGUUGUUCCCGUAGUCGUUACUGACGGUACUUCAGUGGUUGUGGUACCAACAGAAGGUGUUGAUGUUACAACUGUUGUUUCAGGGCUUGUUGUUGUGACACCUGGCACUGAGGUUGUAGUUUCAACUAUAGAUGUUGUAGAAGUUGUCACAGGGCCAGUGGUGACUUUUGGUGAUGUAGUUGUCCCAACACUCUCUGUAGUUGGCUUUUCUGUAGUUGUUUCUGAAGGUGUAGUUGUUGUUCCCGUAGUCGUUACUGACGGUACUUCAGUGGUUGUGGUACCAACAGAAGGUGUUGAUGUUACAACUGUUGUUUCAGGGCUUGUUGUUGUGACACCUGGCACUGAGGUUGUAGUUUCAACUAUAGAUGUUGUAGAAGUUGUCACAGGGCCAGUGGUGACUUUUGGUGAUGUAGUUGUCCCAACACUCUCUGUAGUUUGCUUUUCUGUAGUUGUUUCUGAAGGUGUAGUUGUUGUUCCCGUAGUCGUUACUGAUGGUACUUCAGUGGUUGUGGUACCAACAGAAGGUGUUGAUGUUACAACUGUUGUUUCAAGGCUUGUUGUUGUGACACCUGGCACUGAGGUUGUAGUUUCAACUAUAGAUGUUGUAGAAGUUGUCACAGGGCCAGUGGUGACUUUUGGUGAUGUAGUUGUCCCAACACUCACUGUAGUUUGCUCUUCUGUCGUUUCUGAAGGUGUAGUUGUUGUUCCCGUAGUCGUUACUGACGGUACUUCAGUGGUUGUGGUACCAACAGAAGGUGUUGAUGUUACAACUGUUGUUUCAGGGCUUGUUGUUGUGACACCUGGCACUGAGGUUGUAGUUUCAACUAUAGAUGUUGUAGAAGUUGUCACAGGGCCAGUGGUGACUUUUGGUGAUGUACUUGUCCCAACACUCUCUGUAGUUGGCUUUUCUGUAGUUGUUUCUGAAGGUGUAGUUGUUGUUCCCGUAGUCGUUACUGACGGUACUUCAGUGGUUGUGGUACCAACAAAAGGUGUUGAUGUUACAACUGUUGUUUCAGGGCUUGUUGUUGUGACACCUGGCACUGAGGUUGUAGUUUCAACAAUAGACGUUGUAGAAGUUGCUUGUGAACUGGUUGUUUCUAAAGGUUUAGAUGUGGUUCCCAAUGUGGUGCUUGAUUGUGAUGUAGUAACUGUGGUAAAAUGAGAAUUUUUUUUGAACAGUGCACAAUUAGUAUAUUGUAUAGAAAUUCAAACAAAUGUAGCUAUUUCUCAAUUACUGCUAGUUUUUAUAAAUUAUUUCUUUUGUCUUACAUUCAUUUAAUUACUUUUAUCCCAGAAUUGAAGAACGUGAAAGCAAUAAUAUUGUUUUUGUUGCAUAUAUUUUUGUACCUGUUGUUGUCUUUUCAACCGUGCUGAAUGUAAAGGGAGUAGUUGUAGGCCCAGCUGUGGUGGUCGUAAUGCACACGUACAUGCUUCUGGUUACGGUCCCAUUGGCCCCACACUUAGCUGUGAUGCAGUUUCCCAGGCCAUCCGUGGUGUUGUAGAUGGUUGCCCCAUAUUCAUAGGUUUUUCCAUUAAUAUAGCAUGUACAAGCUGCAGAUCAAGAGGAUUAUGUUUUCAAUUUCUUCAAAAGUCUU
ensembl:lncRNA